rnacentral:rRNA from 1 species
GACGAAGGGGGCUAGCGUUGUUCGGAAUUACUGGGCGUAAAGCGAGUGUAGGUGGUUGUCCAAGUUGGAUGUGAAAGCCUUGAGCUCAACUCAAGAAAUGCAUUCAGGACUGGGCGGCUAGAGGACCGGAGAGGAUAGUGGAAUUCCCAGUGUAGUGGUGAAAUACGUAGAGAUUGGGAAGAACACCAGUGGCGAAGGCGGCUAUCUGGACGGUUUCUGACGCUGAGGCACGAAGGCCAGGGGAGCAAACGGG